AGAGUUUGAUCAUGGCUCAGGGAUGAACGCUGGCGGCGUGCCUAAUACAUGCAAGUCGAACGAAGAGUGUAGCAAUAUGCUCUUAGUGGCGAACGGGUGAGUAACACGUGGGGUGACCUACCCCAAAGUGUGGGAUAACUCCUCGAAAGAGGUGCUAAUACCGCAUGUGGUCCUAGAGAUUAGAGGCUUAGGGACUAAAGACUUCGGUCGCUUUGGGAGGGGCCCGCGGCCAUCAGCUAGUUGGUGAGGUAAUGGCUCACCAAGGCAGUGACGGGUAGGGGGGCUUGAGAGGGUGACCCCCCACACUGGAACUGAAACACGGUCCAGACACCUACGGGUGGCAGCAGUAGGGGAUAUUGGUCAAUGGGCGAAAGCCUGAACCAGCAACGCCGCGU
rnacentral:rRNA from 1 species